rnacentral:lncRNA from 1 species
UGUUACUUUUACUUUGAGGACACCUAGUGGCAGUUUAUAGGCAGCGUUCUUCAAGGCAAACCGAAAGAAACUUCAGGAUGUAGUAACUGUGGAGAAACGCUUACAACCGGACUUGCCGUUAGCCCGAAGACAAAAGAAAUCUGGAUGACACAUUGUCUUGGCAGUUGCAAAGCUCCCAGACGUCCUUCUAGUUCCCGGUUGGACAGUGAACACCUGCGCCCUCCAGCUGAAGAGCAACGUGGAAAGUCUGGAUUAGAGGAAGGAGCGCUGUUUGUUCCCUGCACAUAUUUUCAGGGUCUAAGCACAGUCAGCGCCAUCUGAAGUUUGGUUCAGCAGAAUUGAGGAAAUCUUGGCCUCCACAAAGAAGAAAAGUCCUAAACUGGAAAAGUGUUAAAACUACAGAACUCCAAAACAUACUUAAUCCUGGUGUGAUGCACGAAACAGGACUAAGAAAAGAUUCCCCACAGGAAAACAAGAGAUAUUAUUUGUCCAACACUGUCUUGUGGACUAUAAGUAGAAAGAAGACAGAAAAGUGCUGCAAUAUUCUCAAUAACCUGUUCAAUGGAGAGAACUCGCUGAAGACUGUUGGAUUCAGUGGCAUGUAAGAUACCCGGGAAGUAGAGAAGACUGGUGGAAGUGAAUCAUUUGGAAUCCUAAAGAGCAGCCAGAUGUCCCUUCUUCAUACAGGAUUGUAAGCUCUUUGAGGGCAGGAGCAACGUGCUGUUUAUUUCUGUGGACCCUGAAGCAUGUGACAAACGUAUGAUGGACAAGAAUCAACAAGGAGGGGUGAAGAGGGGGGAUCAGAGAAGUUCUGAG